rnacentral:rRNA from 1 species
GAACGGGUGAGUAAUACAUCGGAACGUGCCCAGUAAUGGGGGAUAGCUCGGCGAAAGCCGGAUUAAUACCGCAUACGCCCUGAGGGGGAAAGUGGGGGACCGCAAGGCCUCACGUUAUUGGAGCGGCCGAUGGCUGAUUAGCUAGUUGGUAGGGUAAAGGCCUACCAAGGCGACGAUCAGUAGCUGAUCUGAGAGGACGAUCAGCCACACUGGGACUGAGACACGGCCCAGACUCCUACGGGAGGCAGCAGUGGGGAAUUUUGGACAAUGGGGGAAACCCUGAUCCAGCAAUGCCGCGUGUGCGAAGAAGGCCUUCGGGUUGUAAAGCACUUUUGUCAGGGAAGAAAUCCUUUGGGCUAAUACCCUAGGGGGAUGACGGUACCUGAAGAAUAAGCACCGGCUAACUACGUGCCAGCAGCCGCGGUAAUACGUAGGGUGCAAGCGUUAAUCGGAAUUACUGGGCGUAAAGCGUGCGCAGGCGGUUGUGUAAGACAGGUGUGAAAUCCCCGGGCUUAACCUGGGAAUUGCAUUUGUGACUGCACGACUAGAGUGUGUCAGAGGGGGGUGGAAUUCCACGUGUAGCAGUGAAAUGCGUAGAUAUGUGGAGGAACACCAAUGGCGAAGGCAGCCCCCUGGGAUAACACUGACGCUCAUGCACG